CCCUUAGAUGUCCUGGGCCGCACGCGCGCUACACUGAUGCAUGCAACGAGUUUAUAACCUUGGCCUGAAAGGUCUGGGUAAUCUUUUGAACGUGCAUCGUGAUAGGGAUAGAUUAUUGCAAUUGUUAAUCUUGAACGAGGAACUCCUAGUAAACGCGAGUCAUCAGCUCGCAUUGAUUACGUCCCUGCCCUUUGUACACACCGCCCGUCGCACCUACCGAUUGAAUGGUUCGGUGAAGAUCUCGGACUUCGAUAUUUAUUCUUUAUUGAGUUUAUAUUGUGGGAAGUUAUCUAAACCUCAUCAUUUAGAGGAAGGUGAAGUCGUAACA
rnacentral:rRNA from 1 species